GACGAACCGUGCGACCGUUGUUCGGAUUCACUGGGCUUAAAGGGCGCGUAGGCGGACGGUCAAGUCAGGGGUGAAAUCUUUCAGCUCAACUGGAAAAGUGCCUCUGAUACUGAUCGUCUCGAGGGAGGUAGGGGCAUGUGGAACUUCCGGUGGAGCGGUGAAAUGCGUAGAUAUCGGGAAGAACACCCGUGGCGAAGGCGGCUCUCUGGACCGAGACUGACGCUGAGGCGCGAAAGCGUGGGGAGCAAACAGG
rnacentral:rRNA from 1 species